rnacentral:rRNA from 1 species
GACGAACGCUGGCGGCGUGCCUAAUACAUGCAAGUCGAACGCAGGGGGGACGGGUGAGUAAAACGUGGGUAACCUCCCGUCAGAGGGGAUAACACUUGGAAACAGGUGCUAAACCGCUACUGAUGGAUGGACCCGCGGUGCAUUAGCUAGUUGGUGAGGUAACGGCUCACCAAGGCCAAGAGGCAUAGCCGACCCGAGAGGAUGACGGGCAACACUGGGACGGAGACACGGCCCAGACUCCUACGGGAGGCAGCAGUAGGGAAGCUUCGGCAAUGGACGAAAGUCUGACUGAGCAACGCCGCGUGAGUGAAGAAGGUCGUCGGAUCGUAAAACACUGUUGUCAGGGAAGCGGUAUCUAACGAGAAAGCAACGGCUAACUCCGUGCCAGCAGCCGCGGUAAUAC